CACGAGUUAUACAAGGUGAAAACUCUGGAAUUGCGAGGUGCUGGGGGUGCUAAAGGUGGAGAGGGAUUUUCUACUAACUGAUCAGACCCCAUUUGACUCCUCUUCUUAAGGUCCGUCCAGGUAUUGAUAUAUCUUCGCAUGUGUUACUGUUUGGGUUCAAAUUCCAUGAAUGAGAUUUGGUAGGGUUCAGUUGAAUCCUAUUUUUAUAAUAAAUCUCCUUUUUCCAUAUUCUGU